ensembl:lncRNA
UGAUGAGUUGUUCAGUGUUGAGGAACUCUGGUCAUGUGUUUCAACAGAUUCCUGACAUCCAUCCAGCCGUGAGAGAUGUGAUGAUGAAUCAGACGUUCAACAUCAUCAGCCUUCAAUUCCCAGAGUUCGAAACGCUGGACUGGAUUGCAUGGUUCAAAGUAAAGCUGAUUCCCAUCCUCCCCAGUUUUAAUGAAGUCAUGCUCACCAUUGCUACCUCAAACGUCAACUGCACCAACUACCAAGUCAUUGUAAAUGGAAUGGACAGAGCUUUCCAUGAAAUGACUCAGGAUAGAAGAGAAGGAAUCGCAAGAGUCCUGCUGAAAUACCUGAGGAAAUCUGUGCACCUCAUCAAUGGACCAGGUAGGACUCACCAAGCAGGUUGUUGUGCUCAUUGGCUUUCUGUUUGAUUCUUCAUCGCCUAUGCUGGAUGAAGCGUGCUUUGUUUGAAAGGAGUGAACAGUUGGCAUGUGGCUUCCUUGUCUAUUGAAUAUAACAUCAAUGUACUCCACUUUUCAAUAACCAAAACGGCCAUACAUGUCUUUUAGCUUGCAGGCAGG